CUACGGGAUGCUCCAGUGAGGAAUAUUGCACAAUGGGGGGAACCCUGAUGCAGCAACGCCGCGUGGAGGAUGACGCAUUUCGGUGUGUAAACUCCUUUUAUGAGUCAAGAAAAUGACGGUAGCUCAUGAAUAAGCACCGGCUAACUCCGUGCCAGCAGCCGCGGUAAUACGGAGGGUGCAAGCGUUACUCGGAAUCACUGGGCGUAAAGGACGCGUAGGCGGGUUGUCAAGUCAGGUGUGAAAUCCUACAGCUUAACUGUAGAACUGCACUUGAAACUGGCAGCCUAGAGUAUGGGAGGGGGAGAUGGAAUUAGUGGUGUAGGGGUAAAAUCCGUAGAUAUCACUAGGAAUACCUAAAGCGAAGGCGAUCUCCUGGAACAUUACUGACGCUAAGGCGUGAAAGCGUGGGGAGCAAACAGGAUUAGAUACCCGAGUAGUC
rnacentral:rRNA from 1 species